UUCAAACAAAAAGGGUCAAAUUGGAAUGAAGCACAGCAUUUGGUACUGGGAAUGUGUAUUUGAUCAACUUUAUUAAACUCUGAAAGAGGCUCUGGAUGGGGAUCUUUAUUUUAUUUCUUAUUUUUUUUAGACCAGUUUUAUUUAUUUUGUACAUUAUUCCCAAUUCUUUAUCAUCUAGUACCCCUUUAUUCCCAAUUCUUUAUCAUCUAGUACCCCAUUAUUCCAAUUCUUUAUCAUCUAGUACCCCUUUAUUCCCAAUUCUUUAUCAUCUAGUACCCCUUUAUUCCCAAUUCUUUAUCAUCUAGUACCCCUUUAUUCCCAAUUCUUUAUCAUCUAGUACCCCAUUAUUCCAAUUCUUUAUCAUCUAUCACCCCUUUAUUCCAAUUCUUUAUCAUCUAGUACCCCUUUAUUCCCAAUUCUUUAUCAUCUAGUACCCCUUUAUUCUCAAUUCUUUAUCAUCUAGUACCCUUUAUUCCCAAUUCUUUAUCAUCUAGUACCCCAUUAUUCUCUUAUCUUUAUUUUUGUUUUUCCCAUUACUCUGCAUAUUCUCUAGCUCUAUUCUGUAAACCCCAUCCAGACCAUCCUUAGAAGGUGCAUUAAAUUCUUAAAAGUACAUCUUGCAUUUAUUAAAAAUGAAAUUUAAUGAUUAGUCAAAUGCUACAUCCCAUCUUUAUUGUUAAAUAAUUCCCAGGCAAUCAUCACUUUUUUAUAUUAUAUAGUUAAAAGCAAUUCUAUGGAAUCCUCCAUUGCUUUUGAUUCCUAUAAUUCCCUUUAUGCAAAUUUGAGUGUUGGAACUAAUUGUAUACC
rnacentral:lncRNA from 1 species